AACGAACGCUGGCGGCAUGCCUAACACAUGCAAGUCGAACGAGACCUUCGGGUCUAGUGGCGAACGGGUGCGUAACGCGUGGGAACCUGCCCUUAGGUUCGGAAUAACUCCCCGAAAGGGGUGCUAAUAUCGGAUAAUGUCUUCGGACCAAAGAUUUAUCGCCUUUGGAUGGGCCCGCGUUGGAUUAGCUAGUUGGUAGGGUAAAAGCCUACCAAGGCGACGAUCCAUAGCUGGUCUGAGAGGAUGAUCAGCCACACUGGGACUGAGACACGGCCCAGACUCCUGCGGGAGGCAGCAGUGGGGAAUAUAGGACAAUGGGCGAGAGCCUGAUCCAGCAAGGCCGCGUGAGUGAUGAAGGCCUUAGGGUUGUAAAGCUCUUUUACCCGGGAUGAUAAUGACAGUACCGGGAGAAUAAGCACCGGCUAACUCCGUG
rnacentral:rRNA from 1 species